rnacentral:rRNA from 1 species
ACGUAGGGUGCGAGCGUUAAUCGGAAUUACUGGGCGUAAAGCGUGCGCAGGCGGUUCGCUAAGACAGGUGUGAAAUCCCCGGGCUUAACCUGGGAAUGGCGCUUGUGACUGGCGGGCUGGAGUACGGCAGAGGGGGGUGGAAUUCCACGUGUAGCAGUGAAAUGCGUAGAGAUGUGGAGGAGCACCGAUGGCGAAGGCAGCCCCCUGGGCCGAUACUGACGCUGAGUGUGCGAGAGCUAGGGGAGCAAACGG